AUGGAGAUUUACUCCAAGGAGGAAGAGUUUUGGCGCCAACGCGGCUCCAUUAACUGGGUGCUAUUUGGGGAUGCCAACACCGCUUACUUCCAGGCUAUCGCCAAUGGCCGUAGGCGUCGUUGUUCCAUCCCCCUCCUUUGGGAGGGUGGACAGUUGUUUCAGGACCACCAGGCUAUUCGCCUGCUAGUUGACGACUUUUACAAGUCACUAUUUCAGGGGCGGCCGCGAAAUGGUGUCGCCCUUGUCGACCACAUCUGGUCGCGCGACCAACAGAUUUCCCCCGAGGAAAAUGCGGCCCUGCUUUCCCCCUUCGAUGCCGCGGAAGUUAUGACUGUUGUCAAAGCUAUGAACCUGACCUCGGCCCCAGGCCCCAAUGGCUUGCCGGUCCGGUUUUUUCAGGCUUUCUGGCCGAUGGUUAAGGACAUCAUCCUUGACCUUUUCAGCGAAUUUUCUAGGGGAACCCUAGACGUGUCCCGACUUAACUACGGGAUUAUCUUCUUGAUUCCCAAGGUACCGGGUGCGACGGACAUUAGACAAUUCCGCCAUAUUGAUGUCUACUACACAACCUUCUUCUUGUAG
rnacentral:rRNA from 1 species